GCUGUUGUGAGUUUGGCCACCCCCGCAGUCCUAGAGUAAAGCCCUCCCUCACGGACCCAGGGCGGACCGAGGGAGGGAAUUUAUCGGAUUAUCACCCGGAAGGAGCGCUCACGAUAUUUUGGAGGUUCCCAGGAGUUUCGCACACGCAUGCUCGUCCAUAUUCCUCCUCCAGCAAUUUGCCAAAAUUCCCCUUUAAGUGCUCCUAUCAGUUUACGGCUCCGGCGGCUUCUACUUCAGACAAGAAAAUUGAGGAUUAUUGAAGUAAGAUAAUGUGCCUAAGAUCGACAGCUGGAAAAAAGAUGGAAGAGUUCAAUAAGAAUUAAGGAGGCAGAAAAGAAGGUGAUUGGAACACCAGGAGGAUAUAUUCAGCCCUUGUACUGCACGGUGCUGUCCACAGAGGUAAAUUACAACCUUGGCGGAUGUGGAUCCUGCCCUCUCUCAGCAUGUGAGGUGGAGGUGGACUCAGGGUCUCUCCUUCAGGAAGUGAUCAUGUGCUGCUUGCUCAAGAAGCUGGGACGUUGAUAUUGUUCUUUGACUUGCCAGCCUAAGAUCCUUUUCUGCCAUCCCCGGUAACAGGAAUGACCCAUUUCCGAAGUGAAAACAUCGACUACUACCUAACUCAUUCAAUCACGGGUUGUCACAUUUGGGGAACAGUGUUUCCUUUAGAAUAAGUGGGAUGCCAGUAUAGACUUAGUUAGGCUCUGCUUUAUUGCCUUCCUGCAUAUUUCCAUGCCGUGCACAUCUAUACAUUUAAAGAGUGUAAAAGAUUAUUUUUAGGUAACCAUGAUGGAUCAAGAUACUGCAUGAAGUUUUCAUACGUAGAAUAACAAUUUUUCUUCGAAUUCCAAUAAAAAUCAGUGAUUUUCUUAUAUAAGUUGAGUUUUCAUGCUUCACAUAUUUUUCUUCUAUUGACUUCCAACUCCAGAUUUCUCUUUUACUGAAGCACCCUCCCCAUCAAUGGCAAACUGUCAACUAAGUUUACAAAACAUUGCAUGUCUUCCAUCACUGAAUCCCGUUUGAUUACAUACAUCAUACAGAGACAUCAGAACUGGGAAAAAUAACCAUGGAAAAAUAAUGUAGAAGCUGAAGUAUUUUUUCUGCCUUGAGCAUUAAUCCAAAUGAGCUAGAUUAAAAUGACAGCUUCUGAAACAUUGCUUUUCAGAAAUAAUCUCUGCUACUGGAUGAAUUGAAUUCACAGUUUUGGGAGAGUUGAACUAAAAUUUUUAUUUUGUAAAAUGCAUGAUUCAAAGUUUUGUAGUGCUUUCUUGAAAUAUAGUCUAUCCUUAUUCCCAAACAUAUUGAAGCAGCACUCGUGGAGUUGAUUUACAUAAUUUCUUAUACCAUAAAUUAGUAUGGAACCAAGUCAUUCUAAUCCUCAGAUGAAAGUGAGUCAACCAAGCCUCACAAGGGUUAAAUCACUUGCUUUUGGAAAUAUACAACCUAUAAGGGGCAGAAACAGAAUUUUCAUCCAGAUU